rnacentral:rRNA from 1 species
GACGAACGCUGGCGGCGCGCCUAACACAUGCAAGUCGAGCGAGAACCAGGACUUCGGUCCUGGGGAAAGCGGCGAACGGGUGAGUAUCACGUGAGUAACCUGCCCUCGGCACCGGAAUAGCCCGGGGAAACUCGGAUUAAUGCCGGAUAGCCCCACAACCCUGCGGGGUGGUGGGAAAAGGUAGCUUUGGCCUCUGGCCGAGGAUGGGCUUGCGGCGGAUUAGCUAGUUGGUGAGGUAAUGGCUCACCAAGGCGACGAUCCGUAGCUGGUCUGAGAGGACGAUCAGCCACACUGGGACUGAGACACGGCCCAGACUCCUACGGAGGCUG